CUGUGCUGCUGUAGAAGGCCAACCGAGAUGUGGUAUGAAACUUCUGAAUAAGAAACUGUGAUAAGGAGAUACGAUCGUCAAUGCUGAGGGACUCAUCUCCGCUCUUCCAGUACAGCAUCAAGUCUUCAUCUGUAUACAGCGGACCACGGGGGCUGUCACCAUCCUCCAGAGGGUGGUUGGAGUCAAAGAGGAGCCUUAACACCCACUCGCAUCCUGGGCCAUUUGACCUCAGGAAAUCACAUGAUAGGGUUUGACUCGUCGCCCGACUGAUGCCCCAGUGGGAGUGGCCCCAGGACGGGACCCUAACGAGGCCUCCCUGGGAGAGGUUGAAACACGGCAAUCCUCACAAUAGACGAUGGAACAUGCCCACAAUUGCCCGACUACCUCAGCCCCUAUCCUGUCCCCCUUCGAGGUCUCCCUGGGCUUCUUUCUAGCAAUAGAAGGAAAGCCUCAUCGAGUCCUGACGUCGUGAGAAGCCCGCGCUGAAGUCUGUCGACAGCUCCUCUCCAGGAAGAGGAUAAAGACCAGAGACGUGAAUUCGGGUUCUGGCCAGCAUUCUUAAAAGUGGUCCACGACGGUGGGGGUCGAUGAGGGGGACCUGACAACCCGGCAAUUAAUCAGCAAACAGGUGAAUAUUGACACUCUGAAACACGUUGCAAAAAAUCGUAUAGGCUCGCCCGAGAGGGGCUGGUAGCAUUUUAAAAUAAAAUAGAGCUCGUCUGAGGGACUGGUAGCUCCCCUGUAGUGGGUAAAGUAGGCUCGCCCGAGAGGGGCUGGUAGCAUUUUAAAAUAAAAUAGAGCUCGUCUGAGGGACUGGUGGUUCCCCUGUAGUGGGUAAAGUUAGCGCGCGUAUAAAGGUAUUUAUUGUUUUAUUUUUGUUGGUGGAAUAAGUUGAUUUUACAGCACAAUAAGGAGGCUGAACUAUUCCACUAAUUUGUUUACUGUAGGCCACCCAAGUACUGGUGAAAAGAGAAAA